rnacentral:lncRNA from 1 species
AGUUCGGGCGGGAGGCUGUCUCGGGCCCACUCUCGGAAGAACUUCUGCAAGACGGGUUGAAACACCAUUUCAGUCUGUUCCCAUACUUAAGCAGUUUCAGGUCUCUGGACAGAAAUUAACAAUGUGAACAAGUUGGGUGAUGAAGCACAGAUAAAGUCCUUAAAAUACAUCUUAAGUUUACAGUCCCUUUUCGCAUUUAAUUUGUAUAAGAAGCACCAAAACUGGAGCCAAGGUUUCAAAAGGUAAUGUUAACAGCAGGAACUAUAAUUUAAUCACACAACACUAUGUAACAUUCUAUAUUUUUGCCUGUUGAUAUGUAACAUAGUUAAGUUUAUUACAAACAUUAUUUCCUAAGACUUAUGGUAUAAGUGCUCCUUUUCAAGUAUUACCACUUAAUAGUGUUUAAUCUACAAGGUAACAUUAGGUAAAUCAAUGAUAAAUGUAUAUAAUGCAAUACACUGUGCCACUUCUUCCUACCCUGUGUUAAGGUAUUAUUAACAAAAUCAAUUAAGAAAAAAACAAGACAACUAUUAUAACUGAAACAAGGCUAUGAACAUCACAGAUGCAUGUCUGAGUAGAUAAACAGCAUUUCCCCUUAACAUGAAAGUCAUUUUGUCAGAGACUCCUGUAUCUUUAGGCUAGCAUUGUUUUAGCAGCAGCUAGUCUUCAGGACAAGAUCAAAAAUUUCAAGCGAAAAGACAACGAGUUACUCUGAGAAAACAUCAAUCCACAUUACUAAUAAAAGAAGCAAACUGCUGGUUUCACCUUAACAUAAAAUUGGGUGUGUUCCCUUUCACAUGUGAUUUAAUUCAUUUAUGUGAUGACAGCAAAGCUUUGGAUUUCUGUGGUACAUCAAUGAGAUGGACUAAUUUGUUGAGAAAGCUCUUAUUUGUUUUAAUAUUUAAAUUGUAGCAAUACAAUAACUAGAAAAAGGUCAGUGCCUCUGUAGCUUUAAACCCCAUCAAUUUUCAUUUGUUUUUCAAAAUAAAGAUGCAAUUAAAUCUAUGCUUCUGCAACAAUAAUGCAAUAAAGUAUCCUUUCCUGAAUAAAGGAAUUGAGGUUUAUCCCAGUAGAAGCUUUAAAUAAGGUAGACUGUUGCCAACUAUGUAUCCAUCCUGUAUGUUUGAUAUAUAAAAUUAUCCGGAAAGCUUAGAUUGUCUUGUAAAUCUAAUUCGGCUAACACUGCAUAUAAGCAGCAAUGGAAAUGAACAGAAGUGCACUCAAUAUAAAACACUUUUCAAAACUACUCCAAAAAACAAAUGACAAAAGUGGUUAAGAACAACUGAGCGUCUGUUGUGUGUACCAGAUGUAAAAGAUGGACCCCGUGGUUACUUGCACGGUUUGAAUUAAUGUGAAGGUAAAAUUAAGACUUAGUCCACUUCCAUCUCUCCAGAGGAUUUAGUAUGCUGUGAGCUGUCUUUUGUUGAAUCUGAUUUAGUUUCAGUUCCACUCUGUCCAUCCAUUGGGCCAUUGUGUUCACUAUUAGCUUUUGGUUUGUCUUCAGGAACUUCUGCUUUUGGUUUGGGCUUGUAAAUGAUGGGGUUACAGAAAUUAUCCAGUUC